rnacentral:rRNA from 1 species
GGUUGAUCCUGCCAGUAACAUAUGCUUGUCUCAAAGAUUAAGCCAUGCAUGUUUAAGUGUGAACUCAUUUUCGCAUAGCUGAACUGCGUACAGCUCAUUAAAUCAGUUAUAAUUUCUUUGAGGGUUGUUAAUUUCAUCGAUUACUAUACGGAUACCCGUAGUAAUUCUAGAGCUAAUACGUGCGUAGGGGUGUUGAUCAACCUCGGUUGGUUGACACUGUGCUGAUUAGAUUCAUGUUAUGUUGUCGCAUGGUUAAUGAGACGACCCAUGAUCAUCGUUCUGACGCUGGGCU